rnacentral:rRNA from 1 species
GUGGAUUCAAGUUUUCGGACGAGAAACCGCUGGGGAGAGUGGCGAAAGGGUGAGUAACGCGUGAGCAACCUACCCUGAAGUUGGGGAUAACCCCGCGAAAGCGGGGCUAAUACCGAAUGUGGUAUUCCGGCACCUGUCGGGAUUACUAAAGGUGGGGACCCUUCGGGGCCUGCCGCUUUGGGAGGGGCUCGCGUGCCAUCAGCUUGUUGGUGAGGUAACGGCUCACCAAGGCUUACGGCUAGCCGGCCUGAGAGGGUGACCGGCCACACUGGGACUGAGACACUGCCCAGACUCCUACGGGAGGCUGCAGUCGAGGAUCAUUCGCAAUGCGCGAAAGCGUGACGAUGCGACGCUGCGUGGAGGAUGACGGCCCUAGGGUUGUAAACUCCUGUCAUGAGGGAAAAGCCGCCCGGGCGCCAAUACCGCCCGGGCCCGAUGGUACCUCAAGAGGAAGCCACGGCUAACUCUGUGCCAGCAGCCGCGGUAAUACAGAGGUGGCGAGCGUUGUUCGGAUUUA